CAGUCGCCGCGGUAAUACGAGGGGGGCAAGCGUUGUUCGGAAUUAUUGGGCGUAAAGGGUGCGUAGGCGGCUUGACAAGUCUUGUGUGAAAUCUAUGGGCUCAACCCAUAGUCUGCACGGGAAACUGUCGGGCUUGAGAAUGGGAGAGGUGAGUGGAAUUUCCGGUGUAGCGGUGAAAUGCGUAGAUAUCGGAAGGAACACCUGUGGCGAAAGCGGCUCACUGGACCAUUUCUGACGCUGAUGCACGAAGGCUAGGGGAGCAAACAGGAUUAGAUACCCCAGUAGUCCCUGUCUCUUAUAC
rnacentral:rRNA from 1 species